rnacentral:rRNA from 1 species
GUUCCUGGCUCAGGAUGAACGCUAGCUACAGGCUUAACACAUGCAAGUCGAGGGGCAGCGGGAUUGAAGCUUGCUUCAAUUGCCGGCGACCGGCGCACGGGUGAGUAACGUGUAUCCAACCUUCCGUACACUCAGGGAUAGCCUUUCGAAAGAAAGAUUAAUACCUGAUGGUAUCUUAAGCACACAUGUAAUUAAGAUUAAAGAUUUAUCGGUGUACGAUGGGGAUGCGUUCCAUUAGGUAGUAGGCGGGG